rnacentral:rRNA from 1 species
UUUUUCCUACGGGGGGCAGCAGUGGGGAAUUUUGCGCAAUGGGGGAAACCCUGACGCAGCAACGCCGCGUGCGGGACGAAGGCCCUCGGGUUGUAAACCGCUUUCAGCAGGGAAGACUUUACGACGGUACCUGCAGAAGAAGCUCCGGCUAACUACGUGCCAGCAGCCGCGGUAAUACGUAGGGGGCGAGCGUUAUCCGGAUUCAUUGGGCGUAAAGCGCGCGUAGGCGGCCGCCUAAGCGGGACCUCUAACCCCGGGGCUCAACCCCGGGCCGGAUCCCGGACUGGGCGGCUCGAGCGCGGUAG